GUACUCACAGAAGAAGUCCUGGCUAACUCCGUGCCAGCAGCCGCGGUAAUACGGAGAGGGCUAGCGUUAUUCGGAAUUAUUGGGCGUAAAGGGCGCGUAGGCGGAUUAGUAAGUUAAAAGUGAAAUCCCAAGGCUCAACCUUGGAAUUGCUUUUAAAACUGCUAAUCUAGAGAUUGAAAGAGGAUAGAGGAAUUCCUAGUGUAGAGGUGAAAUUCGUAAAUAUUAGGAGGAACACCAGUGGCGAAGGCGUCUAUCUGGUUCAAAUCUGACGCUGAGGCGCGAAGGCGUGGGGAGCAAACAGGAUUAGAUACCCUGGUAGUCCACGCUGUAAACGAUGAAUGUUAAAUAUGGGAAGUUUUACUUUCUGUAUUACAGCUAACGCGUUAAACAUUCCGCCUGGGGACUACGGUCGCAAGAUUAAAACUCAAAGGAAUUGACGGGGACCCGCACAAGCGGUGGAGCAUGUGGUUUAAUUCGAUGCAACGCGAAAAACCUUACCACUCCUUGACAUGGAAAUUAUACCUAUUCGAAGGGAUAGGGUCGGUUCGGCCGGGUUUCACACAGGUGUUGCAUGGCUGUCGUCAGCUCGUGUCGUGAGAUGUUGGGUUAAGUCCCGCAACGAGCGCAACCCUCAUCCUUAGUUACCAUCAGGUAAUGCUGGGGACUUUAAGGAAACUGCCAGUGAUAAGCUGGAGGAAGGUGGGGAUGAUGUCAAGUCAUCAUGGCCCUUAUGGAGUGGGCUACACACGUGCUACAAUGGUGGCUACAAUGGGCUGCAAAGUCGCAAGGCUAAGCCAAUCCCUUAAAAGCCAUCUCAGUUCGGAUUGUACUCUGCAACUCGAGUGCAUGAAGUUGGAAUCGCUAGUAAUCGUGGAUCAGCACGCCACGGUGAAUACGUUCUCGGGUCUUGUACACACUGCCCGUCACGCCAUGGGAAUUGGUUCACUCGAAGCUAACG
rnacentral:rRNA from 1 species